UACGAAGGGUGCAAGCGUUACUCGGAAUUACUGGGCGUAAAGCGUGCGUAGGUGGUUGUUUAAGUCUGUUGUGAAAGCCCUGGGCUCAACCUGGGAACUGCAGUGGAAACUGGACAACUAGAGUGUGGUAGAGGGUAGCGGAAUUCCCGGUGUAGCAGUGAAAUGCGUAGAGAUCGGGAGGAACAUCCAUGGCGAAGGCAGCUACCUGGACCCACACUGACACUGAGGCGCGAAAGCGCGGGGAGCAAACAGG
rnacentral:rRNA from 1 species